AAUGAUGCUUUUAUGAGAUAAAGCUUUUUUAUAUAAUGCUUUUUUAGAUAAUGCUGGGGAAGGUUUUCCGGUUUAUCUCGGAGGGCUUGUAGCUCAGUUGGUUAGAGCGCGCGCUUGAUAAGCGUGAGGUCGGAGGUUCAAGUCCUCCCAGGCCCACCAAUUUACCUAUCCAUUUGCCUUUAUCCGUUUAUUUGCCGAUUUAUCGGUCUAUUGAAUUUAAGUGUUGGUAGCAGUUUUUAUAAUGAUGAGAAAUCAUGCUUAUAAAAGAACUCCUUAUAAAAGGCUUGUUUUUAAAAUGUGACGCUUAUCCAUUUCGCUUAGGCAAGAGAAACUUCAAGCGGUUCAAAUGCAAAAGGCUUUAAAUUUUGCAAAACACUUUGAAUUUUAAAGUGAUCCAAGUUCGUGAUCUCGAAUUUAAAAGUUUCGAAUGCUUUAUCCUUUUUUGGGGGCCGUAGCUCAGCUGGGAGAGCACCUGCUUUGCAAGCAGGGGGUCGUCGGUUCA
rnacentral:misc_RNA from 1 species